UACGUAGGGAGCAAGCGUUGUCCGGAAUCAUUGGGCGUAAAGCGCGCGUAGGUGGCCCGGUAAGUCCGCUCUGAAAGUCACAGGCUCAACCUGUGAAAGCGGGUGGAUACUGCCGGGCUAGAGUCCGGAAGAGGCGAGUGGAAUUCCUGGUGUAGCGGUGGAAUGCGCAGAUAUCUGGAGGAACACCGGUGGCGAAGGCGGCAUCCUGGACCGGCAUUGACGCUGAGGAGCGAAAGCAUGGGGAGCGAACAGG
rnacentral:rRNA from 1 species